rnacentral:rRNA from 1 species
AUUGAACGCUGGCGGCAGGCCUAACACAUGCAAGUCGAGCGGAUGAAGGGAGCUUGCUCCUGGAUUCAGCGGCGGACGGGUGAGUAAUGCCUAGGAAUCUGCCUGGUAGUGGGGGAUAACGUCCGGAAACGGGCGCUAAUACCGCAUACGUCCUGAGGGAGAAAGUGGGGGAUCUUCGGACCUCACGCUAUCAGAUGAGCCUAGGUCGGAUUAGCUAGUUGGUGGGGUAAAGGCCUACCAAGGCGACGAUCCGUAACUGGUCUGAGAGGAUGAUCAGUCACACUGGAACUGGGACAAGGGCCAGACUCCUACGGGGGGCAGCAGUGGGGAAUAUUGGACAAUGGGCGAAAGCCUGAUCCAGCCAUGCCGCGUGUGUGAAGAAGGUCUUCGGAUUGUAAAGCACUUUAAGUUGGGAGGAAGGGCAGUAAGUUAAUACCUUGCUGUUUUGAAGUUACCAACAGAAUAAGCACCGGCUAACUUCGUG